CGGGCUCUCAGCCUUAGGAGUGGGGGUGCUGGUUGCCAGGGAUACCAACCAUGUGAUUAGAGCCUUGGGGCUUUCAACCUCACCCCUCAACUUUUAGAUAGGGGAAAGAAGCUGAAGGUUAGGUUGAUCUUCACUGGUCAAUGAUUCAAUGAAUCGUGCCUAUGCAAUGAAGCCUUCAUAAAAACCCAGAAUGACUCAGCUUGGGGAGCUUCUGGAUAGCUGAACAUGUGCAGAUGCCUGAAGCCUGGCUCGCCCAAAAGGGCAUGAAAGCUCUACGCCCCUCCCCUGCACCUUGACCAAUUCAUCUCUUCCAUCCAGCAGUCCAUCUGUAUCCUUUGAAUAUCCUUUAUAAUAAGUGGGUAAAUUUGGACCAUCUCUAGAAAACACAAAGGGAGCUGCAAGGAAAUCCUGGCCCACUGCUGGACUCUAAAUGUGGCUGACACUGAUCCGUUCAGUGUUAAUCAUUGGCGUAUCCUUAUAUUGUUUCAAAAUUCAGCAUCCACGUGACUGGGCCUAUAUAAAGGUAAAGUACUUUUUGGUAAAGUACUUAUAACAAGUCACAAAAUCAGCAAAUAAAGCUUGCUCAGUCUAAAUGGCAUCACGUGUAGAAAGGUAAUGAACAGCACUAAGAAGAACACGACAAGUAAAUGAGUGGUUAAGACAAGGCCUAUGAGAGCUCUAAUGAGGAAGACCUCAUUGUAGGCUGAUGUGGCAAGAAGAGCUUUGCAGAGGGGUGGGCCCUAAUGGGCCUAUUAGGAUCAGCAGGAAGAAAGGGAAUGAGAACUUUGAAAGAGGAAAGGAAUGUGGCAGCAGGAGGCCAGGAUAGCUUGAGAGGAGAACUGAAACCUUGUGAACAGUAAUGAUCACUGGUUAGUUAACAUUUAUGGAGCCAUUUUCUGUGCCUGGCACAUUUUUUGGCACUCUAUAUACGGGUCCUAUUUGACACAUACCUGUGACCUUGGGAGGCAGACAUUAUCCUCAUGAGACAACUGGAG
rnacentral:lncRNA from 10 species